GAUGAACGCUGGCGGCGUGCCUAAUACAUGCAAGUCGAGCGAACAGAUGAGAAGCUUGCUUCUCUGAUGUUAGCGGCGGACGGGUGAGUAACACGUGGGUAACCUACCUAUAAGACUGGGAUAACUCCGGGAAACCGGGGCUAAUACCGGAUAAUAUUUUGAACCGCAUGGUUCAAUAGUGAAAGACGGUUUCGGCUGUCACUUAUAGAUGGACCCGCGCCGUAUUAGCUAGUUGGUAAGGUAACGGCUUACCAAGGCGACGAUACGUAGCCGACCGGAGGGGGUGAUCGGCCACACUGGAACUGAGACACGGUCCAGACUCCUACGGGAGGCAGCAGUAGGGAAUCUUCCGCAAUGGGCGAAAGCCUGACGGAGCAACGCCGCGUGAGUGAUGAAGGUCUUCGGAUCGUAAAACUCUGUUGUUAGGGAAGAACAAAUUUGUUAGUAACUGAACAAGUCUUGACGGUACCUAACCAGAAAGCCACGGCUAACUACGUGCCAGCAGCCGCGGUAA
rnacentral:rRNA from 1 species